rfam:Manacus vitellinus contig34826, whole genome shotgun sequence.
CCCCUGGUGGUCUAGUGGUUAGGAUGCAACACUCUCACCGCCGCAGCCCGGGUUCGAUUCCCAGUCAGGGAA